GUGCUCGCUUCGGCAGCACAUAUACUAAAAUUGGAAUGAUACAGAGAAGAUUAGCAUGGCCCCUGUGCAAGGAUGAUAUGCAAAUUCGUGAAGCACUCCAUAUUUUU
rnacentral:snRNA from 1 species